rnacentral:ncRNA from 2 species
CAUAACCACUAGGGGUGCUCGAUACAGAGCUGAGACGGCGUUGCCGGUCCCUUUGAACCUGAUCUGGGUGAGACCAGCGUAGGAAAUGUGGGUGAAUGCAUAC